GCUGGGCGUGGUGGCUCACGCCUGUAAUCCUAGCACCUUGGGAGGCUGAGGCGGGUGGAUCAUCUGAGGUCAGGAGUUUGAGACCAGCCUGGCCAACAUGGUGAAACCCCGUCUCCA
ensembl:misc_RNA Metazoa_SRP Metazoan signal recognition particle RNA